UUCCGGUUGAUCCUGCCGGAGGUUACUGCUAUCGAGGUUCGACUAAGCCAUGCGAGUCGAAUGUAGCAAUACAUGGCGUACUGCUCAGUAACACGUGGAUAACCUACCCUUUGAGAUGGGAAUAAACCAGGGAAACUGGGUAUAAUACCCAAUAGAUCUCGACUGCUGGAAUGCAUCGAGAUCCAAAGCUCCGGCGCUCAAGGAUGGAUCUGCGGCCUAUCAGGUAGUAGUGGGUGUAGUGUACCUACUAGCCUACGACGGGUACGGGUUGUGAGAGCAAGAGCCCGGAGAUGGAUUCUGAGACACGAAUCCAGGCCCUACGGGGUGCAGCAGGCGCGAAAACUUUACAAUGCUGGAAACAGCGAUAAGGGGACCUCGAGUGCCAGGUUACAAAUCUGGCUGUCGUGAUGCCUAAAAAGCAUUGCAUAGCAAGGGCCGGGCAAGACCGGUGCCAGCCGCCGCGGUAACACCGGCGGCUCGAGUGGUAACCGUUAUUAUUGGGUCUAAAGGGUCUGUAGCCGGCCGGGUAAGUCUCUUGGGAAAUCUGGCAGCUUAACUGUCAGGCUUUCAGGAGAUACUGUCUGGCUCGAGGCCGGGAGAGGUGAGAGGUACUUCAGGGGUAGGGGUGAAAUCUUGUAAUCCUUGAAGGACCACCAGUGGCGAAGGCGUCUCACCAGAACGGACCUGACGGCAAGGGACGAAAGCUAGGGGCACGAACCGGAUUAGAUACCCGGGUAGUCCUAGCCGUAAACGAUACUCGCUAGGUGUCGGCAACGGUGCGACCGUCGUCGGUGCCAUAGGGAAGCCGUGAAGCGAGCCACCCUGGGAAGUACGGCCGCAAGGCUGAAACUUAAAGGAAUUGGCGGGGGAGCAC
rnacentral:rRNA from 1 species